UCUGUGCGUAGACAGACUAAUUUGACUACGUGUUUGAAACCAGUUAAGAAUCCCCGGGUUAUACAACAACAAACGACAACAAACGACACACCUACACCCCCGGUGUAGGUGUUAUUUAGUGUUAUUUCUUUAGCUAAUAUCAGACUUAAAGCAUAAAAAGUCAGUGGAAAUGUAACAACUCUCGUCCUAGAGGAAGCUAAAUGCUAGCUCAUAGCUAGACAAAGUGUAGCGAAAGUGAU